UACAGAGGGGGCAAGCGUUGUUCGGAAUUACUGGGCGUAAAGGGCGCGUAGGCGGCCCGCUAAGUCGAACGUGAAAUCCCCGGGCUCAACCCGGGAACUGCGUCCGAUACUGGUGGGCUCGAAUCCGGGAGAGGGAUGCGGAAUUCCAGGUGUAGCGGUGAAAUGCGUAGAUAUCUGGAGGAACACCGGUGGCGAAGGCGGCAUCCUGGACCGGUAUUGACGCUGAGGCGCGAAAGCGUGGGGAGCGAACAGG
rnacentral:rRNA from 1 species